GGGGACGUAGCUCAGUUGGGAGAGCGUCGCGUUCGCAAUGCGAAGGUCAGGGGUUCGAGUCCCCUCGUCUCCA
rnacentral:tRNA from 1 species